UACGGGGGGGGCAAGCGUUGUUCGGAAUUACUGGGCGUAAAGGGCUCGUAGGCGGCCAACUAAGUCGGACGUGAAAUCCCUCGGCUUAACCGGGGAACUGCGUCCGAUACUGGAUGGCUUGAGUUCGGGAGAGGGAUGCGGAAUUCCAGGUGUAGCGGUGAAAUGCGUAGAUAUCUGGAGGAACACCUGUGGCGAAAGCGGCGCACUGGACCACAACUGACGCUGAGGCGCGAAAGCUAGGGGAGCAAACAGG
rnacentral:rRNA from 1 species